GGCUUUGUAGAUCAGUUGGUAGAUCAUUUUUUGCGUUUAGGCAUGCUGUUUCUGUCGCUGGUUCGAAUCCGGCCAAAGUCC